rnacentral:rRNA from 1 species
UACGAAGGGUGCAAACGUUGCUCGGAAUUAUUGGGCGUAAAGCGCACGUAGGCGGCUUUGCAAGUCGGAUGUGAAAGCCCUCGGCUCAACCAAGGAAGUGCAUCCGAAACUGCAGAGCUUGAGUACUUAAGAGGAUCGCGGAAUUCCCGGUGUAGAGGUGAAAUUCGUAGAUAUCAGGAGGAACACCGAUGGCGAAGGCAGGUCUCUGGGCCACUACUGACGCUGAGAAGCGAAAGCAUGGGGAGCGAACAGG